AACGAACGCUGGCGGCGUGCCUAAUACAUGCAAGUCGAACGAGAAAGUGUAGCAAUACAUUAGUAAAGUGGCAGACGGGUGAGUAAUACAUAGAUAAUCUUUCCUCAAGAUGGGGAUAACCUUCCGAAAGGAGGGAUAAUACCGAAUGAGACCUCAGUGACUUCGGUCACAGCGGUCAAAGGUGACCUCUAUUUAUAAGUUCUCGCUUGCGGAUGAGUUUAUGCACCAUCAGGUAGUUGGUAGGGUAAUGGCCUACCAAGCCUUUGACGGUUAGCUGAUCUGGGAGGUUGAUCAGCCACACUGGAACUGAGACACGGUCCAGACUCCUACGGGAGGCAGCAGUAGGGAAUAUUGCGCAAUGGAGGAAACUCUGACGCAGCGACGCCGCGUGGGUGAUGAAGGUCUUCGGAUUGUAAAGCCCUGUCGGAAGGGACGAAAAACGAAAUGGCUAAUAUCCAUAUCGAUUGACGGUACCUUUAAAGGAAGCACCGGCUAACUUCGUGCCAGCAGCCGCAGUAA
rnacentral:rRNA from 1 species